rnacentral:rRNA from 1 species
GUGAGGAAUAUUGCGCAAUGGGCGAAAGCCUGACGCAGCGACGCCGCGUGAGGGACGACGGCCUUCGGGUUGUAAACCUCUGUCAGCAGGGAAGAGAACGGACGGUACCUGCUGAGGAAGCAUCGGCUUACUACGUGCCAGCAGCCGCGGUAAUACGUAGGGGGCGAGCGUUGUCCGGAAUUACUGGGCGUAAAGGGUGCGCAGGCGGUUUUUUAAGUCAGAUGUGAAAUACCCAGGCUUAACUUGGGGGGUGCAUCUGAUACUGGAGGACUUGAGUGCAGGAGAGGAAAGUGGAAUUCCUAGUGUAGCGGUGAAAUGCGUAGAUAUUAGGAGGAACACCAGUGGCGAAGGCGACUUUCUGGACUGUAACUGACGCUGAGGCACGAAAGCGUGGGGAGCAAACAGGAUUAGAUACCCCUGUAGUCC